GGGCCCGCACAAGCGGUGGAGUAUGUGGUUUAAUUCGAUGCAACGCGAAGAACCUUACCAGGGUUUGACAUCCUGCGAAUCUCUUGGAAACGAGAGAGUGCCUUCGGGAGCGCAGUGACAGGUGGUGCAUGGCUGUCGUCAGCUCGUGUCGUGAGAUGUUGGGUUAAGUCCCGCAACGAGCGCAACCCACGUCUUUAGUUGCCAGCAUUUAGUUGGGCACUCUAGAGAGACCGCCGGUGAUAAACCGGAGGAAGGUGGGGACGACGUCAAGUCCUCAUGGCCCUUACGGGAUGGGCUACACACGUGCUACAAUGGCAGUGACAAUGGGUUAAUCCCCAAAAGCUGUCUCAGUUCGGAUUGAGGUCUGAAACUCGACCUCAUGAAGUCGGAAUCGCUAGUAAUCGCGUAAC
rnacentral:rRNA from 1 species